CGGUAGGCGGGACCGGGGUGGGUAAUGUCUUGGGAAACUGCCUGAUGGAGGGGGAUAACUACUGGAAACGGUAGCUAAUACCGCAUAACGUCGCAAGACCAAAGAGGGGGACCUUCGGGCCUCUUGCCAUCGGAUGUGCCCAGAUGGGAUUAGCUAGUAGGUGGGGUAACGGCUCACCUAGGCGACGAUCCCUAGCUGGUCUGAGAGGAUGACCAGCCACACUGGAACUGAGACACGGUCCAG
rnacentral:rRNA from 1 species